rfam:Dipodomys ordii contig_60258, whole genome shotgun sequence.
GGUGGCUCAGUGGUAGAGUGCUUGCUUCGUAUGCAAGAGGCCCUGGGUUCGAUUCCUCAGCACCA